rnacentral:rRNA from 1 species
UACGUAGGGGGCAAGCGUUGUCCGGAUUUAUUGGGCGUAAAGAGCGUGUAGGCGGCCAGGUAGGUGGGUUGUGAAAACUGGAGGCUCAACCUUCAGACGUCGACCCAAACCCCCUGGCUAGAGUCCGGAAGAGGAGAGUGGGAUUCCUGGUGUAGCGGUGAAAUGCGCAGAUAUCAGGAAGAACACCCGUGGCGAAGGCGGCUCUCUGGGACGGUACUGACGCUGAGACGCGAAAGCGUGGGGAGCGAACAGG